ACUUGGUAGACUGGUUUUAAGCAUGGAAGGAUUUAAAUAGAUCAAACCGGCUUCUCUGUUGAGUGAGAAUUGCAGGAAGCCUUAUUCAGAGAAAGGAUGCAAAGCUGCUUAGGAGGAUAAGGAACACGCAAGAGUCUGAUUGCUCUAAAAUUAUCCUAGCCUACACGCGGGCAUGGGUUAAAGCCCCUUACACAAAUACGGCCAUUUCUCUGGGCCAGGAGCCAGCUGUUCCCAAAAUGGCCACGAUGCCUCAGGAGGGAGGUUGACACCCUGUGCUCUCAGAAGCAGCUCAGAGCUCAGAGGCAGACCUCUACUCAUGCAAUUCUGCCUUCUGUGCAUGCAAUGGAUUGCUGCCAUCUCCAAUCAGCCACAAUGGGAGGCCACCUGCUAGACAUGGAAGAGCCACCGGAUGGAAGAAGCCUGGGUCUCUGAAAUACUGCUUGGAGUAGACUACUCUGCCUGCAAACUAGGAGCACUGAUUUUGGACUUUUUGGGAGGGACUUCUAUGCCCUCUGCAGUUUGCCUCUUCCUCUGCUAUUUUUUCAUGUAUGUGUAUGUUUUUUGCCUGUAUUUGCAAUGCCAGCCAUCAUUUGCCAUGUCUUCUAGCGGCAACCUGCAUUUAGCCCAGAUCUGCUGUGAUUAUUCCUUUUCACAAACCACAAUGACUCUGGAAAACCUGGCUGUAAACACCAGCACUGCCACCAGCUAAGGAUCUGUGAUCAGGAGUGCCAUCUCACGGUAACAGGAAUAUGAAGUCUGAGGUUUCUGCUCUGACAAGAGGAAAUGUCUAACAGCAGAAGACAAAAGUGAAACCGGGCUGAUGCGAAUCACUGGGAAACUGGCUUUGGCACCUCCAGAGAAUGAACUGUUUCAUAGCCUAGCUGACCAUCCAUGAAAAUGGCUGCCUGGAGAGGCAGUGAUCAGCCCAUCCCUGCAGGGUGAAGAUAAGCUUGUGCAGGCCACUGGCUAACACAGUUCAUCCCAUGCCUCCUACAUACCAAGCACUGUGCCAGGCACUUUUCACGUCUGGCAUCCUCAGAAUCCUCCAAAAGGAGAGGUUCGUGGAGGAUAAUGCUGUCAGGCUUGGAAGCAGCAGUAGAGAUCACGUUGCCCAGCUCUUGGCAUCAUUGGUUCCCAAAGCUCUGAAUCCCCUGGAGAGCUUUUGUAAAAGGUCGGAUUCAGACAAUCCGGUGGAGCACUCUGAAAUUUAGAGGAAGUGGUCAAAUAGAAUUUUCUGGAAUUAUGGAAAUCUUCUAUUCUGUGCAUCUAGUAUAGUAGAAUCUAGUCACAUGUGGCUUUUGAGAACUGGAAAUAUGGCUAAUGCAACAGAGAAAGUGAAUUUUUACUUUUGAUUCAUUUAAAUAUAAAUGGUCACAUAUGACAUCACUGCCAUAUUGGACAUUGCAGUUCUGGAAGAUGGCAGAUGCAGCCCUCAGAAGAAUUAUCAGCCUGAAUGUCUGGGCGGAGCAGAGCACUACCUUCCCACUCACUCUUCCCCUCCUCUCGCCCCCUCCCCUGCCUCACUUGCAUCAGAUUAUGAUGUGAGCAAAAGCAGGAAACAGCUCUUUUGAUAGGCCUGUGAGACUUGCUGUUCGUUGGAGUAGCUAGGCUGCUCUGACUCAUACAGACCCAAAUCCUGGCAACCACUUUUAUGAAGAAAUGACAAUUCAGUCUACUACUUGUCCAUUUUACAUGCCCAAGGAAUGUGAGGGGCCUCUGCUUGGAUCUAGUUUUCAACCUAGUCUAUGGCAUUGAUUAUCCUUUUAAAAGACAAAAGAGGUGACUUCACGGGCACUUAACAUCUUGGCCAUACUGACCCCAGUUGCACGCUACGUAGGAAGUUUUAGUCCAUUUAAACUGAAGUUCCAAUUUUUUUUUUAACAACUAUUUAAAAAUUGUACAUGUCCCAUACAUGACAGAGAAAGGGUUGUCUGGUUGGAUGAUUUUUGGCUUGCAAAAAGAGAACACAAAAGAAAAGCAUACGUUUUAAUACUCAAGAGACCAAAUUUUCUGCUGAAGAGGAAAUGAACUACAUAUCCAGAAGGGUCCUACCAAGAGGCCAAACAGACUGUGUUCUCUUGGGGGAGUUCUCAGUGGUGAUGAGAACACCACUUUUUUUUUUUUUUUAGUCAUUUUCAAGGUGAGAUAUUGACUUGCUGCUGGAGCAGGACAACUGGUCUCUCUUUCAUUGCUAGCAGCAGAGUAAGGGUCUUGCAAGUUUCAGGCAGCAGCAGAGAAAGGGUCUUGCAAGUUUCAGUCCAAAGCAAGAAGAGCUAGGAUUGCACCAGCUGUCUCACCUACUCUGUGCUCACCUGUUUCUGGAUGAAGCACGGUGACAUCUGUUUUAUUGUAAAGAGAACCAACUUUGGAAUCAAAUGGAACCUGUAUUAAAAUCCUGAAUCCGUCACUAGCUUGGACAAGUCA
rnacentral:lncRNA from 1 species